GUGCCAGCCGCCGCGGUAAGACGUAGGGGGCCAGCGUUGUUCGGAAUUACUGGGUGUAAAGGGUUCGUAGGCGGUGUGGCAAGUCGGGAGUGAAAUUUCUGGGCUCAACUCAGAGACUGCUUCCGAAACUGCUGUGCUGGAGUGUGGGAGAGGCGCGUGGAAUUGCAGGUGUAGCGGUGAAAUGCGUAGAUAUCUGCAGGAACACCCGUGGCGAAAGCGGCGCGCUGGACCACUACUGACGCUGAGGAACGAAAGCUAGGGGAGCAAACAGGAUUAGAUACCCUCGUAGUCC
rnacentral:rRNA from 1 species